rnacentral:rRNA from 1 species
UACGGAGGGAGCUAGCGUUGUUCGGAAUUACUGGGCGUAAAGCGCGCGUAGGCGGCUUUGUAAGUCAGAGGUGAAAUCCCGGAGCUCAACUCCGGAACUGCCUUUGAGACUGCAUCGCUUGAAUCCGGGAGAGGUGAGUGGAAUUCCUGGUGUAGCGGUGAAAUGCGCAGAUAUCAGGAGGAACACCGGUGGCGAAGGCGGGUCUCUGGGCCGAUACUGACGCUGAGGCACGAAAGCGUGGGGAGCAAACAGG